GGCGACGUACCCAAGUGGUUAAGGGAGAGGUCUGCAACACCUUUAUCGUCGGUUCGAAUCCGACCGUCGCCU
rnacentral:tRNA from 1 species